CUGGGGUCCGGGGAGGUUGCAAGACAUAUUCUUGGAAAAAAGAUUUAGCAAAAAACAAAAAAAAAUGUCCAGUUUGUAUCUGCUUAUUUUGCUAUGGAUGGUUUGCAGAAUUGUUUAUGUUUGAAUCUUUCUCAAUAAAAAGAUGAUUUUUUUCGGACUUGGAGUGAAAAUAUUGCCAACUUUGUUUAGAAACAAGUUUUUGACUAUUCAUCCAACACAUUUUAAACGUUUCUUUACACACAAAUCUAUAGAUUGAUAUAUAUAUUUUAGAAAAGGGGUCCAUCACAAAAGGUUAAUCAUAUUUGGGGGUCCUUGGCAUCAUACACUCUAAAAAAUGCUGGGUUAUUUGUUUAACCCAACAGCUGGGUUGAGCCUGUUGGGUCAUUUUGUUGGGUUAUUUUCUUAGUGUUGGGUCAUUUUUUGAGUAACCCAAACGCUGGGUUACCAGUCUGGUCCAAUUGAGUGACAGUUGAGAGAGUAAACCCCUCCCACUCCUCUACGCAUCAGACAAACUUUACCUUCGCGGGCAUUUUGAUCCACUUCAUCUCGGAAAGCUGUUAUUCGGAGAAUAAAAGGUAUGUUUUACGAGUUUUUAAUGUAUAAAACUAUUACUGUAAAAAAGUAUGCAAAAUUCGGCUGUUCGCAUUAGGUUUGAAAGUAACGUCUAGCUUCGUUAGCUUUGGAUAGCUAGUCUGUAACGUUAUGCCCACGUUGUUCUAAUUUACAGCUUUUUAAUCAUUUAAACUUCCUUUUUGGUGAACAUUUCCUCUGAAAUGUGUGACUUGUGUGAGGAAUUUAGUUCAGUAACUUACGCAUCUUGAUAUUAGUUUAAGGUCGACACGAGAGCGUCGUGUCAAAAGCAAACAUCCAGCUCAUUUUUUUUUAUAAAUACCGCUAAUGUUCGGUGACGGAACUUAGAUUUAAGAGUCUUUUAGACGAGAAUGUUGUUGUUAAGAACUCAAAUACGUGAUUUAUAUAUAAACAUAACGCCUCUUUGAGAUUUUGUUAAGACGCUGUCGGAGGUGUGAGCUUCAGGCUGUCAGCUGUCGUGUCUCCGUGGAGAGCAGCUCUAUCUCGGCCAUUGCUUCGGGAAUAGCCGCUGGCUCUUAUAACGUUAGUGGUUAACAAUGCGAUAUAGUUAAUUUUGGGUAUAUGAGACGAACAAUUGUUGCUCUUUUUAGACUUAAACUUAUUCCCGAGUGUGUCGAAUUAGUGAAGGGUUGUUUUAACGUUUAUAAUAUUAUUUUUUAAGACUGUAUUUCGCUUUCUGUACUAGAUCCUACUCUUCUUUUCCCCCCACUGACAGCGUGCAGAAUAACAGCUAAUAUUAAUGGAUCAUUCUAUUCAAGAGAAUGUCAACUGGAACGUGGAUGUUUUCAUAACAGGCUUAAAGAUGAACAAAUUGAUAAAGAAACCCUCCUGCUGGACAUCCACUUCCAAAAGUGCACACCACACUGUUGUCUACAACUACUAGGAAAAGAAUCCUCUUCAGUAAGUCUGCUCCGUGGAUAUGUCAGGUUAAGCAGUGCUGAAACCGAAAGAACUAACACUAUUUAAAAUGUUUUGUGAGUUUAUAUGAAGAGGAAAGUUACGGUGUCCCUUUUUCACAUCCAUAACGCUUGUUUAUUUCUUUUUUUAUAGAAAACUUGUGCAUAGACUUAUAUUUUAACAUAUAAAUGCGGUUCUAUUAACAAGGGUUUAGUAAAAUACUUUUUAUAGCGUUUUGAAGUGUUAAGUUGUCUAACUAUUUAUAUUUACUUGUGCCACUUUAAUAACCUUGUUAAAUGUCUAUGUUAAAAUCUAAACUAAUGUAAUUUAUUGAAAUUAAUGUUCUUUAAAUAUGUAUAAACAUACAUUUCAUCAAAGUGUUUUAUAUGCCAUUUUAUUGUUCAUUGAGCAUAACAUAUUGCAUGUUUUUAUGAAUUCCUUUUGUCUUGCAUUUUGAUCCUUAAUAAAACUAUUGAUUCUUA